GUGCCUUCUUCAGCAGCAUGUAUACUAAAAUUGGUAUGAUCCGGAGGAGAUUAACAUGGCCCCUGUGCAAGGACGACAUGUAAAUUCAUGAAGCGUUCCAUAGUUUU